GAUAAAGCACAGAAUGCUUUGAAGGCUGGGACACAUAUGGCAUGCAGGCCGAGAAACCAGACUUGAUUGGCUUGCAGAGAUGCUGAAUGUAAUAUUUGGAUACUUAUGAUCCUGUACAAGACGGGAUUGGCCGGCGCUCCCCGGGUGGCAUCGGUGGAUUCUUGCCGUGGAUGUACAAUAAUAAACAUCUGUGGACGUCAACGUCUUGGGAGGAAACUGGAUUCUUGGCUACAAGUUCUGAGGAUAUAUUUGGAGCAAGUAUCUAUUCAUUGCUUCUACAAACCCCCCCCCCAUCAUGGAUAAAUAGGAUUGGAAUUUGGAAAGCCUUCUGCCGAGUAACCGCAUUCACUCAUCCGGAAAAUAUGUUUUUUUUUUCUCUGCCGUAUUCCUCAUCUGAUGGAUAUUUCCAAAUAAAUGCAAUGCUUCUUAUAUCACUGGACACGUGUGCCGAUCUGCAGCCCGCAGAUACAGCGCCGGUACAGCCACCGCACAGCUAAGUUGUCGCCUUCCUCCAGCACGUUGCCAUCAAGAUCAUUUACUGAAUGACAGCCGAGCUGCAUCAGCAAAUAUCUGCAAUAUUUGCCUUCAUAGCAUCUGAAGGGCACCUGUCACUUGCAGAUUUGACGGAUGGACCAUCAAGCUUCUUCGAAGUCUACAAUUUGGCCCUUUACAAAGCCUGUUAAUUGCAUAAAUGGUGCACGCCUUCGUCUAGCAGUGAACAGUCCAACAACAGCCAAUCAACAGUGCUGUAAGAGAAAAAAUGAAAAACAGUGAUGUCAGACAAAAAACAACAGUGAUGCAAAAAAAAGUCUGUAGAGCUUCUUUAUGUAAAGAAAGGAUCUUGGCAUGUUGAUCACUACAUGUAACACCCCCAUCAUUGCCAUAUUGUAUAAUAUGCUUUUUCACUUAAAUUCUUCUAGGUGUUAUUUUGUUUCAUUUUCCAGUAGUGUACAUCCACCAGCCACUUUGUGGUCUUGCCUGAUAUAGAAAUGAUGUCCCUGGUGCCAGGUGAACUGAGAUACCUCCCUAGUUGUGGGACAUGACUGGUCAAUUCAAUAGGUGUAAGUGAUCUCAGUAAAUACGCCUAAUGGACAAAUGAGUGAGCCUGAGGGCAUGCCCAUCGCACUUUCUUGCCUCUCCAUAGACAUAACAUGCGUAUCACCAAUAGGGUUGGGAUAAGCUUCUUCUCUGUGACUUUCGCACUGCUUAUCUUAGGAAAAGUAAUGGGUUUAGACAGGUAAAAAUCAUAUAUGUUGGAUCCUUGUUUCUCUGUUAUUGAAGACAUCCACUAACUGAUCAUACCUUAUAAAUAUGAAUGGAGAUGUAUACUUUUGCAAACAACUUUUACUGGUCAAAUAUAUGUAAAAUAAAACAAUGAAGCAAU